rnacentral:rRNA from 1 species
AACGAACGAGACCGCCGCCUGCUGAAUAGUUCUACUAAUGGUUUUUCAUUGGUAAGAGCUUCUUAGAGGGACGUUCAUUCUACAAGAUGAAGGAAGAUGGCGGCAAUAACAGGUCUGUGAUGCCCUUAGAUGUCCUGGGCCGCACGCGCGUUACACUGAUGCACUCAACGAGCAUAUAACCUUGGCCGAGAGGCCUGGGUAAUCUUGUUAACAUGCAUCGUGAUAGGGAUAGAUUAUUGCAAUUUUUAAUCUUGAACGAGGAAUUCCUAGUAAUCGCGGUUCAUCAAACCGCAGUGAUUACGUCCCUGCCCUUUGUACACACCGCCCGUCGCACCUACCGAUUGAAUGGUCCGGUGAGGACUCGGGAUUGUGGUUUGGCUCCUUCAUUGGGGCCUGACCGCGAGAACUUGUCCGAACCUUAUCAUUUAGAGGAAGGUGAAGUCGUAACAAGGUAGCCGU